AUGCGGCUGACGAGUCCCGAACAGGACGAAACACGCGUCCUGGAU
rfam:Schistosoma margrebowiei strain Zambia genome assembly, scaffold: SMRZ_scaffold0001494